CUGACCACGGGUUGCCCAUAUGGA
rnacentral:siRNA from 1 species